rnacentral:lncRNA from 1 species
AUGAUAGACAAGUGUUCAAAGGGAAGUGCUCUGACUCCUAGUUCAAUAUUGCCCAUUUUUUCUUUAAAAAGGUUUAAAAAGGUGAGUACAGGUGUGGAUGCCCCCCUCCCCCCGCCCCCCGCCUCCUGCUUUAUGAGCUCUCUGCAACUGGUACCAGGUACCCACCCUAACUCACCUUACCCUCUUUCUUGUUCUGCCCCCAAGUCUCAGUCUGGGAUUUUGAAGAUGUUGUGUUGCCUCCAUUCCAGAAAGCUUGGCCAACCAGCCCCAAGGCACGAUGGACAGAAAUGUAGGAUACUUGAUGAGCACCCCUUGAUAAAAGAUUGA